rnacentral:rRNA from 1 species
UGCAGAAUCCCGCGAACCAUCGAGUCUUUGAACGCAAGUUGCGCCCGAGGCCACUCGGCCGAGGGCACGCCUGCCUGGGCGUCACGCCAAAACACGCUCCCAACCACCCUCUUCGGGAAUUGGGAUGCGGCAUAUGGUCCCUCGUCCUGCAAGGGGCGGUGGGCCGAAGAUCGGGCUGCCGGCGUACCGCGUCGGACACAGCGCAUGGUGGGCGUCCUUGCUUUAUCAAUGCAGUGCAUCCGACGCGUAGACGGCAUCAUGGCCUCGAAACGACCCAUCGAACGAAGUGCACGUCGCUUCGACCGCGACCCCAGGUCAGGCGGGACUACCCGCUGAGUUUAAGCAUAUAAAUAAGCGGAGGAGAAGAAACUUACAAGGAUUCCCCUAGUAACGGCGAGCGAACCGGGAACAGCCCAGCUUGAGAAUCGGGCGGCUGUGCCGUCCGA